UGAUGCUCUCUAUGCCAAUAAUGUUAGUGCAUCAUGACAAAGAAAUAUGGGGUGAAGAUGCAUCGGAGUUCAAGCCAGAGAGAUUCAGUGAAGGCGUUUCAAAGGCAACAAAGGGCCAAAUGACGUUUUUCCCAUUUGGUGGGGGCCCUAGGAUAUGCAUUGGACAAAACUUCGCGAUGAUAGAAGCCAAGAUGGCUUUGGCUAUGAUUCUACAACGCUUCACAUUUGAAUUAUCUCCUUCUUAUACACAUGCUCCACAGCCUGUUAUAACUACCCAGCCUCAGUAUGGUGCUCCUCUUGUGUUGCACAGAUUGUAAAAAGAGUGAAUAAACCCUCUUAUGCAAAUUAGUUUACACUAGUCACUCUUUCCUCUUUUCUAGCUUGGAACAAAUAACACUAUCUUUAUAUUUGAAAAGUUUUUCAUUUGAAAUAUCUCAUUUUCUGUUAAUGAGAUGAACUUGUACAUAUAAUAUUCCGUUAUGACAUAUUUUUGAGCACAAGUACCAAUAAUUAAGAAUACUUUUGGUAUUUUGUAAUUUUCUUUCCUCAUUUUUCUUAAAUUUUGUGUUCAAUCAAACACUAUCAUGACAAGAAUCACAUGGAGCAGUAAUAUCUUUGUAGAAUCAGUCAAAUCUCUCUUAACGUGUUAAUAUGUUAAAUUUUAAUCUGCCUCACUACUUGAUCACCAGUCUUGAAUGAAUUUGGAAAUACCUUGAGGUUUCUGAUUUGCCAAAUAUAGUAUACAGUGGCUUCCAUUGCAUAUAUAUAUAUAUAUAUGUAUUGCCAACUCUUCUUUAAAUAAAACUGUCUUUUCACUAUUUUUCUUUAUUUUCCUAAAAUAUAUAGAGUAGGGGAAUUAAUUAAUAUUUUCCUUCUACUAGACUUCCUAAAAUAUAUGAGGCUCCUAAAAUAUAUGGUAGGAGAAUUAAUUAAUAUUUUUCUUUCUACUAGACUUCCUAAAAUAUAUGGAACUCCUAAAAUAUAUGAUAGAAGAAUUAAUUAAAUUUUUUUUUUUUUACUGUUCAAUUAAAAAAAUACUCCUAAAAUAAUAUUCUAUUAAGAAAAUACUUCUCUAUAUAUUGAGAUGUACCUUAAAUUAGAGAACAAACCGGUUUGCCUAUUGAGAGAAUAUGAUUGAUGCUCAUCAAACUUGAUUCGAUUGCAUGUCUAAAUUGGUGGAUACUUGAUUUUCUAACUCUCAACUUCUUCACUGUUUUUAUCCGCAUAAUAGAAUUCAAUGUGUGUGUAUAUAUAUACUAGUUUAUGGGUACGCGCUUUGCACGUGUAUCUCAUUUUAAUGAGUUCAAACAUUACACUAAAUAGGAUAUUUGUUUAAAUAAUAAAGAUGAAUAAAUAAUUAAAUUUAAUUUCUUUUGAAUAUGUAAAGAUGGAGAGUUUAUUUAUUAAACCUAACCUUUACCAAAAAUAUUUUUAAAAGUCGAUCGACAUUCAUCUACCAUCUGUAAAUUGCAACAAAAUAAUACAAUCAUAGAGGCAUCAAAAUAAUACAAUUAAAUUUAAUCUUUACAAAAAAAAAUAAUUCUCAAAGUCAUUCGAUACUCAUCUACCACCUGUAAACAAUAACAAAAUAAUACGAUAAUAGAGAUAUCAAAACAAUACAAUUAAAACAACUUUUACACAAGAAAUUAUUCAUAGCCAACCGAUAGUAAACUAUAAAAAAAAUAAUAUAAUAGUGAUCACAAAGCUUCAAUUUUGAUCUAACUAAUUCUUAUCUGAGCAAAAGUUUUGACCCUAAAGAAUGAUUUUGAAUGAAAUUAAAGAAGAUAUAUAUAUAUAUAUAUAUAUACACACACAUAUUAUACUGAUAAAAACAGUGAAGAAGUUGAGGGUUAGAAAAUCAAAUAUCCAUUAAUCUUGACAUAGAAUCGAAUCAAGUUAGAUAAGCAUCAAUCAUAUUCUCCCAAUAAGCAAACCUGUUUGUUCUCUAGUUCAACGUACAUCUCAAUAGUUAUAGAAGUAUUUCCUUAAUAGAGUCCUAUUUUAAGAGUAUUUUUCUAAUUGAACAGUAGAAAGAAAAAUAUUAAUUAAUUNNNNNNNNNNNNNNNNNNNNNNNNNNNNNNNNNNNNNNNNNNNNNNNNNNNNNNNNNNNNNNNNNNNNNNNNNNNNNNNNNNNNNNNNNNNNNNNNNNNNNNNNNNNNNNNNNNNNNNNNNNNNNNNNNNNNNNNNNNNNNNNNNNNNNNNNNNNNNNNNNNNNNNNNNNNNNNNNNNNNNNNNNNNNNNNNNNNNNNNNNAAUAUAAAACAGAGAACAAACUAAAAAGAAUAAUAUUACAAAAAUCAAACAAGGAAGAUAAUUAAGGACCUCUAACCCGAUCAACACAUAAAUACACCCGUAUAAAAACACAGUGGAUUAUUAUAGAAACAGAUAAUUAAUAAUAAUAAACACCUACAUUCAAAAAAAAUUAUUUGAACAAAGAAAUAAAAGGUAUAGAGAUAAACUUUUAAUUUUUUCGUCUACUUCAUUCGGCAACAUGCUUGUUACGUUGAGGCUUUAAUCUGAAUUUUUCAACUGCAAGAAAAACGCGAGAAAAACUAUAAGGGAAAAUUCAUUGUCAAUUGUUCAUUGUGUAUAAUGCAUAUAUAAUCAAUCUCUAAAACUAUUAGAAAAAUAAAAGGCAAAAGAAUGAACAUGGUGAAUGAAAGAAGAGGACUUGAAUCAAAUAAGAAAAAAUAUAAGUAGAAGUUAUGUUUCUUGUAAGAUUGGUUUAAAAUAUUACUUAAAUAAAAUUGUAGAAAUUAUUAUUUUUUUACAUAAGGUAAAAUUUUAAUAAUUUAAAAGUGUUAAAUAUAAUGAAUGUUUACCUAUUAAGGACCUGAAUUAAUUUUAAAAUCAAUUAUAUAAUAAUUAUUUUAUAACAAAAGUUACUUAAAAAAUAAUUUAUACGUUUUAAGUCAUAUUUAAUCUAGAGUUGUUUGCUUAAUUAGAAUCCUAAUUUUGGUAUGUUUUUUUUUGUUGUUGGUAAUACUAAUUGUGGUAUGCUACUAAAGAAGGAAAAAAAGGAAAUUUUGUGUUUGCUUGUCUUGAAAUUUAAUCCCGUUUGUUUUAAUAUUUUUUUCCCUUAAAACCAAUCUACUAUUAUUAGAAGGGAAUCUAAGUAAUUAUAAAUAUUAAUUAAUUAUAGCCGACACCUAACAAAAUUUUCCAUAAAAUUGGGAGUGUUCCCAUAUAUUUGAGGUUUUAAUUUUUUUUUAUAUUUAUUAAAGUCAAUAUUCAAUAUUAAUAAUAAUUAUUUGAGGAAAAAAAUAAAAAGAUGAUUUUAUCUAUUGUGAAGUCUUUUAAUGAAGUGCAAAAAGUUCAAAACACUUUUUUAAGCGUCUUCACACUUUUAAUAUAUUAUAGAUUAUAGAUAUAAAUAUAGAUUAUAUAUAUAUAUAUAUAUAUAUAUAUNNNNNNNNNNNNNNNNNNNNNNNNNNNNNNNNNNNNNNNNNNNNNNNNNNNNNNNNNNNNNNNNNNNNNNNNNNNNNNNNNNNNNNNNNNNNNNNNNNNNNNNNNNNNNNNNNUGUGUGUGUGUAUAUAUAUAUGUGUGUAUAUAUAUAUAUGUAGCUACUUUAUUUUCAUUUCAAAAUCAUUUUUUAGGGUCAAAAUUUUCGUUCAGACAAGAAUUAGUUGGAUCAAAAUCGAAGUUUUGUGAUCCCAAUUAUAUUUUUCUUUUAUAGUUUACAGAUCGUAGAUGAAUGUCAGUCGGCUUUGAAGAAUUUCUUGUGUAAAGGUUAGAUUUAAUUGUAUUGAUUUGAUAUCUUUAUUAUCUUAUUAUUUUAUUUUAAUUUAAAGGUGCUAGAUGCUUGUGGGUCAGCUUUAACAAUAUUUUUUUAGGUAAAGGUUGGGUUUAAUUGUAUUAUCAUAAUAUCUCUAUUCUUGGGCGGAGCUACAUGUAAGUUAGGGGGUUCAUCCAAACCCCAUUCGAUGAAAAAUUAUGCUAUAUAUAUAGUUAAAAUUAUUUUUUAUGUAUAUAUAGUAGAUGUCGAACCUCUUUCGGUUAGAUGGUAUGUUCACUUGUGAAUUGCCUUGCUGAAAAUCUUGGCUCCGCCACUAUCUCUAUUAGUUUGAUAGUUUGUGGUAGUUUACAGUUCGUAGAUGAAUCUUGAUCGGCUUUGAAAAAUUUUUGUGUGUAAAAUUUAAGUUUAAUUAUAUUAUUUUGAUAUUACUUUUAUCGUAUUAUUUUGUUGCAGUUUACAGGUGAUAGAUUAAUGUUGGUCGGCUUUGAGAAAUUUUUUUAUGUAAAGAUUAGGUUUAGUUGUAUUAUUUUGAUAUCUUUAUUUUCAUAUUAUUUUGUUAUUGUUUGCAGGUGAUAGAUGGGUAUCAGACGACUUUGAGAAAAUUUUUGUGUGUAAAGAUUAGAUUUGAUUGUAUUAUUUGAUGUCUCUAUCAUUGUGUUAUUUUGUUGCAAUUUAUUAAUAAAUAAAUUCUCCAUCUUUACAUACUCAAAAGAUAUUAAAUUUAAUUAUUAUAUUCAUCUUUAUUAUUUAAACAAAUAUCCUAUUUAGUGUAAUAUUUGAGCUCAUUAAAGUGAGGUAUACGCGCAAGGUGCGUUUAGAAAAGUGAUUCGAACUUUUUACCCUUUACUAAAAAGCUUUGUUUUAGACAAAAUUGUCUUUUCACUUUUUUUCUUCAAUUAUUAUAUUAUUAUCUUUAUAAUAUUAAAUAUUGACUAUAAUAAAUAUAUGAUAUGAGAAUAUUCCUAAAUAUAUGGAAAGACUCCUAAAUUUAUGAAAAGUUUUAAUUUGUUGGGUAUGUAUUUUUUAAUGGAAAAUUAGUAAUACUAUUUUUUUAACCAAAACUAUUCUGGCGUGUACAAAGAAGAACCCCAAAAAUUUAAAUUACUACUAAUAUUAAGUAAAAUUUAACUUAAAUAAAACGUUUUCCUUAUAUAAAUCCUAAAAGUCAUAGCCACCAGAUUUAUGAUAGUCCCUUUUUUCCUCUCACGUGUAUCCUUUUUGGGUAUGUUCUCAAAACAAAUAAUUUGGUUUGUAAUUGUUUUAGGUUUAGUUAUUUGAUAUAGGUAAUAAAUUAUAAUAUUUAAUAGUUUAAAAUUAAUUAGAAUUUUACCUUAUAUAAAAAAAGUGAUUUCUAAAAUUCUAUUUAAGUAAUAUUAUGAACUCAAAAGUUACAAGAAACAUACUCCUAUUUCUACGUUUUCUUAUUAUUUUGAUUUUGCUUCAUGUGUAUUCUUGCAUUUAUUAUUAUCACCCUUUAUGUUUUCAUUUAUUUCUUUUAAUUUAUAGCUUUAAAAAUUAUGUAGGAGUUAUACAUAAUCAACAAUUGAUAAUCAAUACACUUCAUUUAAUUUUUCGUGUCUCUCUUUCAAAAGAGAAUUUUUGAUUGAAAAACUGAAAGAAUUUCCCGUCGAAUGAAGUAGCUACAAAAAUAAAAGGUUUAUUUCUUUUUUUUUUUCCAUUUAAUUGUGACUUAGUUUUGAUAAUGUUAUUGAACUAUAUUUUGAUAUAUGAUUCGUUAGUUUUAUAGUUGAAUCCUUGAUUAAACUUAUUAGUUGAGUUUGAAUUAUAAGAUCAACUAAUAAAUUGGAGUAGCUUAUUGUUCUUUAAUCUUUAAUUGGUUGAGUAGCUUAACUCGAAGAACAACCUUAAAACUCUAAGUUAGAGUUAAAUAUAUUUAGGAAUGAUUCAUAGUGCUUUAGCUAAUUUAGCAUUGUAAUGAGACAUUCAUUUUUAAGAUGUUGUAGCAUUAACACUUUUAGGGUGGAGAGAAUAUACACACGUGCAACACAUGUAUACUUGACUAGUAUAUAUAUGUGUGUGUGCGCGCUCGCGUGUGUAGCCAGUCCUCUUGGACAACCAAGAGUGUUAUGUAAAAAGGAUCAAGGAAGAUCCUAGUCGUGAGGAGAAGGGGUAGGAGUAGGUGCUAGAUUUAGGGGCGUAAUCGAAGAAAUGAAAUUCAUUUAUGCCACGACGAUCUAUAUGGAAGGGAAGUUUUGUUGAUGCAUUCCUCUUGAGAAUGAAGAAGAAGAGAGAUCUUAUUUUUAACAGGAAAAUUUGGUCAUAUAGAUCUUCUAUUUUGCCGAAAUUCAUUGAUUGCUCUGUACGAAUUUAUAAUGGAAAAGCUUCUGUUUGUUGUAAGAUUAUUGAAGGAAAGGUUUUUCAUUAAUGUGGAGAGUUUGCUUUUACGUGGAAAAGAAGACCUUCAAGAACAAAUAUUGGACCGGGAAGAAAAAAGGCAUUAUUCAUAUACUCUCCUCCUUUAAUUUGUUUGACCUAUUUUCCUUUUUAAUUUAUUUUUAAAAAAUAUUUGACAUGUUUAGGAGCACAAGAUCAAAGGACAUUUUGGUACGUUUGACAUAUCUUUGAUUUAAGACUAUAAGAAGACAUUUGGUGUGAGGUAUAAGGUAUAAUAAUCCAGAGAUAAAAUGCAGGAUAUCUAGCAUUUGGUUGGAGGAAUUAGUUAGUUCCAGAAUUACUUAUCCCACCAUUUAAAUCAUAGUGAUGGGAUAAACUAUCCCAUAUACAUAGUGCUAUAUCUGAUUUUGAGAUAACUAAUCCCCGGAUAACUUGUUACCAACCAAAAGAUUAAGGAGUAUUUUGACACAUUUGACAUAUCCUGGUUUAUAAUAAUAAGAUUCUAAAAUAUUCUUUAUUUUCUUAAAUUUUGUACCAAGUCAAAAGAGAUCAAUCAAUUUAAAAUGAAGGGAAUGUUUAUUAUCACGACUCAGUGUAAAAUUUUAUUUUGAAUUUAAGGCGGUGGCAUUUUUUAGUAUACUUCUUAUAUCCAAAAUGAUAUUUAUAUGUCUUAAGUAACAAUUUAUUUCAGGGGCGGAUCCAGGGGCUUGGGUGGGGGUUCCUAGAACCCAGUAAGUUUUGCGGAUCUUGUAUUUAUAUAGAGAAAUCUAGUAAAUAUAUAACAAUUAUAAGUUGUGAUAGCAUACAAACUACGAAAUCGGAAACUAAACUACGAUACAAAAUGAAAGCUAAAAGGAUAGAUAGAAAGCAAGAAAUAGAUAGACUGAAUGAAUGAAUGGAUAGCAAACUAAGGGUAUAUUAAAACCCUAACCCUUUAUUCAAUAUCAAUCAAAGCAUCUAACUCUCAUGUAGACCUCAACGGAAUCGGAUUCCCAAGCAACCCACGUUUCUAAACAAGGUAUCAACACAAGCUUAUCCAAGCUUGUCUCACACACUCAAAAGAGUAUACAUUCAUAAUUCAUCAAAAUCUCCCUCCUAAAUGAAAGAAAGGUCCUAUUUAUAGUCUUGGUUAAAUUAUUACAUCUUAUGGGCCCAAAAAUGACCCAUUUGGAAAGAACAAAUCAUGGUUGCCCACUUAACAUCUGUUUAAGCAUUUAUGGAGUAUAUGGGGCACAUCUCAGGUGUAUCCCAAGGGAAUAGUGGAUUGUUUUUACUUGAUCUAGCAGAUAUAGAGCUGGUUGGUCGCACCUUCAAAGCGGAUGGGGCAUAUAUCCUCUUUUGGAGGCUUUCUAGCCCCGUCUUGCACUCCCUUGGCCUCUUUAAUGUCCCUUGACCCUCCUUAAAGAUUAUCACCAUCCAAUUGGCACCUUUUGAUAGCACCAAGGAGUUAUCAAGUGCCUCUUGGACCAUGAGCCUCUCAUCCAAAGAUCGGGAGGUAAUUGGGAUUAUAUCAUCCCCUCCUUCUUGAAGAGAAUUCGUCCUCAAAUCUACAACCUUAAAGCACAAGAGAAGAACACACAACCAACAAAUCCUCAAAGCACGAGAGUUAGCACAGUGGUGAACAUAAACACAUCUAUGCCAAAGAGGUACACAUUUGACAUACAACCAAUGAUUUUUUUAUCAACAAAAUGAAUUCAUCAUACACUACACAAAAGGUGUUGGCUAUAAGGAGUCUUAUGAAACAAGGAAACUACCAAGGUUGUAAGACACAAGUAUUUCAUUAUUUCACCAUAAGUCUAUACCCAAGAACUCCUACCUCUAUCUAAAAUAAAUCCCACAUCAACAUGGAUAUUAUCAAAUGCAAAGAAGAUGAGUCUCUUCCAUGGUGUUUCCAUACUUAAGAGUAGCAUGGUACUUAAGAAAUCUAGUAAUCAAGUCACUAGAAGUUGUAACAACCAAGGAUAGAGUCAAGUCAUUAGGAUGCAUAACACCCUUCCUUCAAGACAACUCAUGUUCACACUAAAUGCAUUUUCAACACAAACAUGGCAAUUAUUAUAGGCAAAAAGAUAGAAAAGAAAAGAGUUAAGGACACCAUUCUCAUCUAAAUUACCCUCAAUAAUAAGUCUACAAGAAGCUGAGAUAAGACAAUUUAAGCAUAUUACAUUUUUUCAUUUCUAGCAACUUCCCACACUAAGUACAUUCACCAACUCAAUCAUGCUAUUAGAGAAAAUAGAGGAUCUAUAAGAAACCAAUUCACUCCAAGCCAAACGGUAUACCCAAGAUGUUGGGUGAAUUCUUUUCAUGGCACUUAGCAUGUUUCUAAGAGUCCUUCCUAUUACCUCAACUCGUCCAAUCACACAAGUGUGAAGAUGAUUAGGAAACAUAAGUCAUACAUUAAGUACACACCAAGGACUUUUCCUAAAACCAUAAAUAGAUUGGGUAUCUAGAUUGCAAGACCCACACAAUUCAACCACCAAAGAAAACACCAUAAAGGAAUCUUGAAGACACUAAUAUUCUCAUGGUGUGACAUGAUAUCAAUCAAUUUCAAGGGUCUAUACAAUAUGGGAGAAAUAUCAUCAUGCCUCCAAGGAUCACUAGAAAGAGGAAAGGGUAUAUAUACCUUAGAAGUGAGGCCUUGAACUUUUUAUCUUGUCCUUCAAAUGUACUUUAUCUUGGACCAAUAGACUUGAUACUUUUGCCUCUUUGCAGGAAUUUCCUUAAGAGGUAACUCCUUCUUUUGAUUCAUGGGGUUAGAUGCUUCACCCCUUGUCAUAAAAUAUCCAUCGACCCAUAGGAGUUUGACUAGGUGUCUCCUUUAAGUCAGGCCUUCAUAAACUUUGAAGUCCUUGAAUAAGAAUUCAUCUAGGACUUCAAACUUAUUCUUAUGAGUAGGGGUGUGCGAAAAUAAACCAACCGAUAAAAAUGCUAUUGGGUUAUUGAUAUUUGGUUAUUGGGUUAACGGUUUCUUAGUGGUUUUAUAAAAAAUUUUAUUGGGUAAACGGUUCGGUUUUGGUUUUAGCUUAUUGGGUUAUUGGUUAAACCGAUAACCCAAUAAGAAUACACUAAGUUAUUAUUUUUCCCUAUUUAUGUAAUAUAUAUAUAUAUAUAUAUAUGUGUGUGUGUGUGUGUAUGUGUGUGUGUUAUAUACACUACUUAUUCACAGUUCUGUGAUUCACAAAGUAUUAACCUAUUCAGGAAAACAAAGAAACAAUAUAAAGCACGAGUAUUAUCAUUGGAAAGCUUGAAGCAUUUAGUAGCUUCCAACAAUUAGGAUUCAGUUUUUUUCUGAACUAACAUUCAAUUCAAGAUCGAAUAUUCUUGUAAACAAAAAUGCAUUGCGUAGGAUUUUGAUGGUAACUAAGAUUUUAUUUUUAUGUUAGUUGCUACUAUUUCUAUUUUAUGAGUAUUUUCUUAUUGGUUAAACUAAAAACUGAACUGUUAAUGAUCAAAAACCGAUAAGAAAAUAUCUUAUUGGUUGGUUAUUGAUUUUACAUAUUUAAAAAUUAAAAACUGAUAAACUGAACCAAUAAAACAUAUAAACUAACCGAACCGACGAUGCACACCCUUACUUAUGAGAGUUCUUUUUUGAAUCCAUAUUUGGAAACAUCGGCUCAUGAUCUUGGAAGAGAGAAAUAUUAGUACUAGGUGAAGGGACACUGUGUAUUGAUCUUCAACUCAGGACCUGUUCCCAGAUACACUCAUAUAAUGAGAACUAGGAGAUAUAUAAAGCAAGAAGUGCAGGAAUAAAGUAAAUAAAAGACACAAGGUUUUUACGCGGAAAAUCCUUGCUCAAGGGAGAAAAACAACGACCUACUUUUAGGCUUUCUAAGCUUCACUAUACUCAAGAAACUUCUUAAAUACAGACUCUAAGGAUUAACAUCCUAAUCCUUUGUUUCCUAGCAACAACUCUAUCCCAAGGAAACACAAAUAGUACCUCUACUACUUCAACCUCUAGCUAACUCUAACUGGACUCCAUAAGCUAAAUCUAUUUUGAACAAUCACCUAACUCUAGGUGAUUACAAUGAAAGGAAUACACCUCAAAACCUACUAACAAUUAUAAGAAAUGUAGGUACACAUUUUAGAACAAAGUACAAAGACUUAACUACAACAAAGAGAUAAAGACACGACUAGAUAAAUAAUUAGUUUUCUAUUGCAACUGCAGUCUUUUGAUUCACCACUUCAAAAAGAUAUUUAGUUGUCAGAAUAUGGAAAUGUUGGCCUUUUUAUUGUGGGAGCUGAGCAAUAUAUAUUGUAACAUAAGAAAACCUUAGAGAGAUCUCAUUGGUUGAGGAAAAAAAAGUGGAAACAAAUUUUUCUACCAACUUUUGUACUUUGUGUCAGUUGUGACUGUUGAUUGUGAUAGUAAUAGGUAAGCCCAACCUAUUCUCUACAAAAAAUCUAGGAAAUAGGUCCCAACAUACAGAAUUCAUAUAGUUUGUCAAUCAUCAAAACUAAGGACUUAACAAUUUCCCCCCUUUUUGAUGAUGAUAAACCUAUGCAACCAUUCAUCAUUUUCAAACCAUCCACACAAAGAACAAUAUACACCUUAGCAACACCCCAUAAGCCACAAGGCCAUGUCAAACUAGUUUGUUCAACCAUUUCCCCCUAUCAUUGAUACCUAUAAGUAUAUAGGCAUCCUACACCUUAUUCCCUCUAUCUAUGAGCAUCAAGUUCCCCUUAAGUGAGAGAACUCCUAUCUUCAUUAGUACAACCCAAACACAUCCCAAAUUGCUACUUCCCAACCUAAAGCCUAGCCAAUGUCCAACCUACUACAUCCCAACAUGCUAAAGCAAGCUAACACAAACUAUGUAAUCUACUUCAAACUUUCCCCUUUUUGGUAUCAUUAAAGAGGUUAGGCAGUAAAUUAAGCAUAGAUAAGCAUAUAUGUUAAUUUAUGGCCAUUGAGGUAAUACUUACAUGAUCAAGAAAAGAUCAGAUAAAAAUGAGAGAAGGGAUAACAUAGAGAAAAAAUCACAGUUAUUCAACAAGCAGUACCGAAAACCAUUCAAACAUAACAACCAUUAAAAAUAUUGAAAACAAUAGUGCCAGGUACACAUCAGAGACAAAAGAACAAGAAGAAUCACAGGGCUUAAAGAUAGGACUAGGAAGGUGAAGGAGUAGGUACCAUAAGAGAAAGAUUUAGGAAGAAGUUCCUGUAGCUCGAUCUAGCUUCCUGAGGAGUAUAUUCAUUCUUUCAUAUUCUGCAGCAUGAGCCUUAAGAAUCUAUGAAUCAACGCUUCAUUUUUUGCAGUCAAGGGUUAAACUUGAGCUUCUAACUUCUCCAUCCUUGCAUGUAGGGUAACAUUUUCUUCUUUUAACUUUUCACCAGAGUUGGUCCCCUCUUCAACUCCUUUGACUGAUGCAACUUUUAAUGUAACAAUCUCAACAUCCUUUAUAGCAAUUAUGAUAGUCAUUGACUCCAUUUCUUCCUUCAAAUUCUUCUGUGGUUCCACUAUCUCAGACAUAGGGGACUUAGACUUCUCACCACCUCUCCUGGGAACACACUCAUUGUCCUCUAGAGUGGUUAUAUUAAGUAUUUAUUUAACCGAUCCAAAUUUUCCUUGUUCACACACCACAUUAAAGUAGUCAAAAAUAUUGUUAAGUCAAAACCCAUAUACCAGGCCAUGUUUUCCAUCCUUAGCAGUAAUCACUGUAUGCAUAUGUUCAAUAAUGAGAGUAGAAAGGUUGAUUUUCUUAAAUUUUGCCAACAUCUCCAUGAGAUAUAGAUCAGGACCUGUGAUAGUGGUUUUUUUUUCUAAUCUAGGUAGAAGAUACUUAUUUACCAACUCAAAGAAUAGUUAGUACUCACCAUUUAGGGCCUUAUUGGUUACAUUCUUUACAUUCAUAUCAUCAAUAUUACUACAAACCGUUAAAAACUUGGUUGAUCCUUCUUCCUUUUUUGCAGAUUUUAUUCCCUCAGUAGGGACUCCCAAGAUUUUAGACAUUAUCUCCUCAUCAAUAACAAUAUUUAUUCCAUUCACCUGAGAGAUCAUGUACAAACCAUCUUCAGAGAAUGUUAGGUUGCGAUAAAAAUGCAAUUCUUAUUCAUAUAACAGAGGAACAUGUCCCUCCAAUAGAUGCUCCCAUGCUUGAAACUUAACCCAUUCGAUUAAUUCCUUCAUUACAGGAAGCUCAGCCACAGUGGGAUCAAAUAUUAUGCCUCUCAUCACUUUUUGAGUCUUCAAAAUUUUUUGCCUUGCCUCUUUUGACAGCACUCUACCCUUCACAAUGAAGGAGGAGGCCUUUCCCAGGGCACCAACUCCCUUUUCAGAUGAACUAGAAGCUUCAGAGGUAUUAGCAACCUUGGGGCUGGGACCUGAUACAUUGUUCCCUACAGAUUGUACCCUUUUUCUCUUCCUAGUUUGCUUAGAUAUAUUCUUUUAUCUGAACUCACUUCUCUUUUCUCGAAGAAUAGUUUACUUAAUUACUUUAGAAGAGUGACUAAAUUUACUAGUCUUAGUGGGGAGAUUCAUGAAGUAGGUAUAGUAAUGAUAGGCUUAGAUAUUAUGAUUGAUGAAAACACAAACUGAUAAGCUAUGUGGUUAGUACUCCAUGAAUUAAGACAUGAGGUUGUUGGAUUACAGUGAUGAGGUGAGGUUAUAUUCUUAAUGGGAGGUAGAGUAUAGGGUCCCAUAGCUUAAGCUAGCACCUUUUUACCCCGAGUUAGGCUUCAACAUAAAAAGAACUAUGUAGUGAAACUCAAACUCUUGUAGUUAGGUAUGUUAUGGAAAAUUAUAGGUUGGAAAUAAUGAAGUAUGUUAUUUACUUAUUUAUUUAUUUAUUAUUUGGGGCAUAGUCGAGUAGUGUCUCUAAGUGUAAGGUCUAAUCGUUUUAAAUUGUACGGUGGAGAAUGUUUCUAUUCCUAUCUUCUGCGAAACCUUAUUUCAUGAAUAGUACCAAUGUAAAUCAGGCCUAUUAUCACCAAAUAAGAUCAUGCCUUAUGUUGUGAUGAUUAUGAUCCCUAGAACUCAUAUGCAAGGUCAUCGCUAUGUUAAUUCUUGUUAUCUCACGCUUUGUGCUUACACGUUUCACUAAGGGUUAUCAUGAAUCCCUUUUGAUGCCUUUGCAUACUUAGUUGAGGAGAAAUGUUCAAUGUGAAGCUAUGUUCUUUAUUUCAUACUUUUUGAGCUUUAACAAGUUCCUACCCAUCAUUCGGGAAUGAAUGAUCCCAAGGGAGAGAUAAUGUAACACCCCAUAGUUGUAAUGCUCUAUUAAUGCAUUUAAAAUGACCUUUAGGACACCUAUAGUGAUAGUAGAUUAUGUAUAGACAUUGUGGGAGGUGUUGGGGGUGUUUUAGGACCUCAAAACUUAGUGUGUGUCGCAUUGCCAUCGCCUAUAGCCACUGGAAAAGCUAGGCGAUGAGGUAGGCGCCGCUCACCUAGGAGCUAGAAGAUAGGCAAGGCGCCACCCAUAUUGUGGCUAUGCCAUGGACAAGGCGUCACCCACCUUGUGGCUACAUAAUAGGUUGGGCACCGUAUGGCCAAUGCAUUGCAGCGUAGGGGCUCUAUUUUUGUAUUAUUUUAAGGGUAAUAUGGUCCUUAAAUGUUCCAUAACCAUCCCUAAACACUCUUAGAUGAAAUUAAAGUCCAUAUUCAUGUUAUAUAACUUACUACAUCCCUAAUUCAUCUUAUUUAAGCAAGAAAUGGGAAAAUUAACUAGGGUUUUAGAGAUUAAGCCUCAAGAGUCAAAAUUUCUCAAUGUUUUCAUCAAUCUAAGAUAUGUGGGGAUAUCCUAAACCUCAUGGACGUAGAUUUACUAUUUUUAAACAAGCUAUAAAGAGCAUAUAUUUAUGCGUACGAAAUAGAUUUUGAAAGUAUUGAUGAACAUGCAUUAAAAAUCUCAUUUUACAAUGAAGUCUUAUAGAAAUUAUGGUGUUGUACCCUAAAUAUGAAAUGUUUUCAUGUGUUCAUGUGCUAUUAAGUUUGAGAAGUUAAAUGAGAGCAUGAUGUAUGUAAUUCCCUUUCUUAUUAUUAAACCCAUUGUUUUUACAUGUUGUGGGUUGAUUAUACAGAUAGCUAAAAACUUGAGUUUGAAGGUUUACUGUCAUGUAUGAAUUAUACUGUUUUUAUUACUAAAUGAGAGGGUGUUUUCCUUGAUUUAUAAAUGUUCAUGUUCCCAAAAGAGAGUUGCAUGUAACUGAAUAAGGAUUUGACCACUGUAGAUAAAGUAUUGAAGAGAGAUAGUGUUUUGUUUUCAUAUGCUUUUGCAGUAUGAAAUCUCGCCUGAUUUUUUAAUAUUUUGGGUGGUCAAUAACAUGCUUUUCAAUAAGAAGGGUAAUAGAGAAGUUUUGGUAUAAAAUGAAGGACUUGCAAGUCUGGGUAUGACUAUAUCUAUUAAAAUGUGCCCUAAAUAGAAUAAGAGAGAAACAAUUAUAAGAAGAAAGCAUGAUUUUUUUAAGAGUCUAAAAUAGGGCUUAAGAAAGUUAGAUGGUUACCCGAAGAAGGCACAAGUUUAAAUAACUUAUUUCUCAACAUAGUGAUUUGCCGACACAGGUUUUAUAUUGCCCUGAAAUAGGGGAAUGUACGCUGGUGAUGGCCUUGUGGCAUAGUAGAGAUGCAGAGACUCCAGCCCUUAUGGGAAAAUUGGCUUAGGGGCUUGGCCGUCAAGUCAAGAGCGGAUUCCAUAUAGCCUAUAAAAUUACAGAUUGUAGGAUAUACCAUCUAGCUCAAUAGAGAAAUGAAGAGUUGAGUCAUGAUUUCAAUAAGUUAUUUUGAAGCUCAUCACAUUAUGCCCAUGUGUUUUCAUUUACCUUAUGUUAAAUGUUUUUAUAAAAUGCUCUCACAUAUGUUGUAUAAAAAUAUAUUAUUUUGGAUUGUUAUAUGUACCAGUAUUUUUUUGUAUUGACCCCCUAUAUUUCAGGUUAUGCGGUAUAGUCCCAUGGUCCAUCACAUCAGUAGAACACUUGGGAUUUGACAGAAGUGAUGAGCCAUCCAUCUUUGAAAAGGCAUUUAUUUAUAUGUUGAAUCUUUCAGUAAAUGAUCCAGUCGGGGGCUUUGUCUCGGCCUAGACAGUUAGUAUUUAGUAGAGGCUUCGUAGAUGGUAGUUGAAGUGUUGUAUUGUCAUAUCUUAUGAUGCAUUUCAGAUUGUAAGUUUUCCAAUAAAUAUUGUUAUAUCUUCCGCACUUUAAUUUAUGUAUGGAUUUUGCUUAUGAUAGUAUGCUAAGAGGUCUCUCGGGCUUUGUGGUUCGGGAUACCCGUUGCGAAUAGGGUCCUAGCUCGGGUCGUGACAAUCUUGGUAUCAGAGCACAGUUUAUGGUUCCAGGGUAUCUACGAAGCCGUGUCUAGUAAAGUCUUGCUUAUGGGUGUGUUGUGCACCACACUUAUAAUCAAGAGGCUACCGGGCAUUUAGGAGUUGUUUCUCAUUUUUUCAUAUUCAAGUUCAUGCUAUAGUGUCAUCCAUAUGAAAGGUAUCCAAUUUUCUUCCUUCCUAUAAUUUUAUGGGUCAGGCCUCAUUGUCGAGGCGAUACAAGUUCAAGAGUUUAAAUCCCCAACAAUGUGGUCCUUUUUUAUUGAGUUAUCCAUGAAGUUAUGAGAUAGCACAAGGACUUGAGAGGAGUCCAUUAGUGCUUCAAAGUUAUUGAUUCAAGUGUAUACCUCUAUCUUAAUAAAAUUGUGCUUUUCAGCCUGAGGUAUGAAGUGUACUCAGUCCCUUUCAAAAUCCCUAUUAUGGAUGUCAUGCUUAAGGAUAGAGAUAUGUGACAAAAUGUUGGAACAAUAUUUUCACCUAAGUAGUAGUAUAUGAUAAGGUGUAAUAACCUAUUUGUAGUAAGAUUAUCCCGAAGUUAGUUUUAUAAAUUCGCAAGUCUAGAAGUUAGAGUGAGGGUGACUUUCACAUAAAUAAGUUGUUGUAGUUGUAUAACCCUUGACUGGGGGGUGGUUUGCUCUUUUAUGGUGAUGGGCUGAUGUUGUAGAAAGAUUUGUAGAUUGCAUGGUAUUCUGUGAAGGAAGUGAUUGGCUAUGAUUGUUAUUUAUUCAAAAUAGGAAAGGAUCUCAGAGUGGAUAGUUAUGGUGGUUAUAGAAAUCAUUUAUAGGCUGUGAAUGAAAAAGGGAUAGAUUAGUUAAUAAGUUAUAGGUAGAGACUCAUUGGUGUAUAUAGAACUUGAAGGUAGUGGGGAUAUAUGUAUGGGUAAGUAAAUAUGAUGUGAGAAAGUGGUAUAUGUUGAUAAGAUCGUAAUGGGUUAUGGUAUAAGAUUAAGAUCGACUGUCCCUAUUAUGUGACUUUACCCCCUUGAUUGUCUUUUCUCUAGUAGUUGUAAACUAGUACUUCAUGUGAGAAGGUAUAUAGUAAAUUUUGAGAUGUAGUAGUGAUACAUGGAUAGGAUAUGAUUUUAGGUAGUAGUUAAGUGAAAUGAGGUAUUGGUUUGAUUUCCCAAUUUGAUGGACCAGUAUAGUAUGUGGCAUGCCUCAUCGGUGGUACAUAAUUGAUGCUAGACUCUAGGCUUGAACUUUAGAUGUGGAGUGUGGUGGUAAGUAUAUUGGCUUAAGAUUAAUGAUGUAUGUUUUGUAGGAAUAAACUAGUAGGCUUAAUGUAAGAUAUGAAAUUUCCUAGGUUGGCAAUUUAUGAAAGAAAGAGUGGAUAAUUGUUAUAUAUGUACAUGAGGACUAAGGUGAAACGAUGAAUUGUGGUUGAGUCGUUAAGAGGGUAAGAGUAUUAGGUAUAUAAGAAUAAGUUGAAACCCCCUGAUAGUAUGUUGUUAGAUAAGGUUUUAUGGGUAUAAGUGUCAUGUGUACCUAGUUCAUGUUCUUGAAUUGUGCAGUAUGGGGAAGACUAAGGAGUUGCUGUGUGAUGUUCUUUAGAGCUGAAUUGAGAAAAUAUAGGUAGGCGGUAUGUGCCUUUGGUAUAGUUUUACAAAUUUUGUAAAGUUAUGAGUUAUGCGAUUAGAGGUUUAAUACGAGUAUGUUAAGUAAUAAAGGAUGAAUUAUUAUAUGAUAAGGAUAUUCGGAUAUGUAUUCUCAUGAGAGUGUGAGUUGUAGGGUGAUGGCUAUAGAGGCUAGCGAAAGUUAAGAGUUGCACUUCUGGAAAGCGAGACUUUAGAGUAUAGUUUAUCAGAGGAGUUUAGCAUUUAUGUGUAUGGUGAUACCCCAUUGUGUUGAGUGUUGUUCCUGUAGAUUUAUUGAGAAGAUAUGCCCUAAGUUUAGGAUUGUGACUUUAAUCUAAGGGAGAGAUGAUGAACUAAGGUAGUUCUUGAAUUUUCUCAUGGUGGCAAGUUUCAGGGAAGAUUCAUGAUAAAUCUAUUCCUAUUCAAGCAGACUCCUUCUACUUCAAUUUAAGAGGUCAUUCUACCAAUGCCUCAUGUAUUCAAGUGCCUAUACCUAAGGUUUAAAUUAUCUAUGCAACUUAUGUCUAUGUUCCGUACUUCAAACUAAAAGCAAUAAUGUCCCCCGACAAUCCAAGCUUUCAAGUAUUCAAGUUCUAUGUUAUGAUGCUCAUGAUCUAUAAAUCUAUGUCUCACAUCAUGCUUGGUUCAAAGAAAAUAUGUUUUCCAUAUGUCACCGAUUCAUUUUAUGUCGGGUUUAGCCUAAAGUGAUAUGGUACAUGUAAACUCAUGACUAUCUCAGCUCUGAAAAUGAGGAGCAAUAACUUCAAGUAUCAAGUCUUGUCUCAAUCAGUAACUUCAUGAAUUUUGGCCUUAUGGUAUAUGACUCAUGAUAUAUGCGCUCAUGUUUCUCACCAUAAGUUCAGUCCUACAAACUUAUAUUGUACUAUGUUUAUACCCGAACGACUCUCUAUUUAUGAUUUAGGCAUCUAAUGUAUGAAGUACUUCAUUCCUAUUGCAUCACAUCUACCAUUGCAUCCCCCACCUUGAGUAGUGCAACAAGUAUGAGUUAUAAUUAAAUAGUGUUACUCCUAUUCAUAAUGCUUAUGCUCGGGUCGCUCAAUGACCAUCCAUAUGUUAGUAUGAUGGUGGUUGUGUGAACAUAGUAAUGUCUUAGGUAGGGGAGUAGAUGUUCUUGAAUGUGAAAAUUUUAAUGUGAUUCUCGAGUUAUGAUUAUAUGUGAAGGAGGAAAAAAAGAGAUGAACUUUCGUUGUGUGAAAUAGUUAGGAAGGAGAUAUGUGGUGAAAAUCUUUGUGAGAGUGACUGAAUUUGUUGGUCUUAGUGGGGAGAUUCAUGAAGUGGGUGUACUAAUGAUAGGCUUGGAUAUUGUGAUUAAUGAAAACACAAAACCAAUGUGCUAUGUGGUUAGUACUCCAUGAAUUAAGACAUGAGGUUGUUGGAUUACAAUGAUAAGGUGAGGUGAUAUUCUUAAUGGAAGGUAGAGUACAGGGUCCCUAGCUUAAGCUAGCGCCUUUUUACCCCGAGUUAGGCUUCAACAUAAAAAAUACUAUAUAGUGAGACUCAAACUCUUGUUGUUAGGUGUGUUAUGAAAAAAUAUUAGGUUGGAAAUAAUGAAGUAUGUUAUUUAUUUAUUUAUUUAUUAUUUGGGGCAUAAUUGAGUAGUGUCUCUAAGUGUAAUGUCUAAUCAUUUUAGAUUGUACGGUGGGGAAUGUUUCUAUUCCUAUCUUCCGCGAAACCUUAUUUCAUGAAUAGUACAGAUGUAAAUCAGGCCUAUUAUGUAACACCCCAUAAAAUUUUUGAGUCAUUAGAGCUUCUAAAGCAUGUCAAGAAAGGCUUAACACUUAGAAAAUUUGACUAAGUGUUGAAACUUUUUCAUUUCCAUAAGCCUUCGAAACUUUGAUGAAUUAUUUUGUGACCUGCCCAACCUCUAAUUCUUGAUUUUCUUGUUACGCUGCAAAGGGGCAAGUCAAGAGUACAUCCCGGGUGAGUUUCGAAAUUUUUGGACGAGCCUAAGGUCGUGUUUGGGUUGGAAAAACAGUAGAUAAAGGCUACAGAGGGGCACCCCCAGCUUAGAUCCUUGGCCCCUUCCCUCAGUAGCAAGGCGCCGCCCAGGUUCCACCAUGGGAAGAGAAAGGCGCCGCCCUUCUCCCCUGGGAAUAGUAGGGCGCCGCCCAGGCUGUAGCCCUGGGCCAAAAAUCUGCAUUCCAAGUCCGUGUUUUCAAGGGCAAUUUGGACAAAUACCACCCCUAUAUAAGUUUCUUUAACACGAGAGUCAUCAUAUUUUCACCCAAAAUAUAAGGUUUUCUCUCAAUUUUCCUCAAGAACAAGAAUAAGGGUUUCUAUUGAAGGUUCAAAAUCAAGGAAAUUCCUUCGUGAAUCUUUCAAGAAUCAUAUAGGAAGGUAUGUUGGAUGUUGAUUCUUGGGUUCCUCCCACCCAAGAAGUUCAAGAAUCCCUUUUUAAAUUCAAGAUCUUAUGUUUAUGAGUUUUUCAUGACUGGAGUUGUUUGAAGUUGAAGCCCACGUUAAUAUUAAGUUUUAAUUCAUGUUGUGAUCAUAAAGAUACAAGUAUUGACCUUAGUAUGUGUUGGUUAUGUGAUGUUCAUGAUAAAGUCCCUUCAUGAAGCAUGCUGAGUUAUGUAAUUAUGUUAAUUUGGUGUAUUGAAUGUUGUAUGGCCAAAGGAUGCCUCCCACAUGUUUGAUAAAUUGCUCAUGUGAAGAAAAUAGUGUCAUUGUAACAUGAAGUAUGUUAUUCCCAAGCAUAUGUCAACUAGUGCAUGCUAAGUGUUUGUUAAAAGGCCUAAAAUGAAAGAAUUAUGAUAUGUUGCAUGUAUUCCUAUUCAUGUGAAUUCCUUGUUGGAUGAGUUAUGAGACAACAUCAUGCUUCUCAUUACAAUUACAUGUUUAAGAUUCCCAAGUGCUUGAAAUGAUGCUUUAUUGGUUAUGUUGCGAAUAAUAGUCUAUUGUCAUGAUUGUUACGCAAGAGUUUUCAUGUCUUAUUUAUUUAUGCUAUCGAGUCCUGGGGGUAUUUAAUACCCAAAAACUUAGUUUCUUGUCUAAAGCUGAGUCAGUCUCAAGAUAAUCUCAGUCGUGCUAUGAUUAGCAGGAUUCAGACAGUUACAGAAUGUAAAGAAAUUCAGUAAUCUCAGUACUAGUUCAAUCCAGUCUCAGUAUUCAGUCUAAUCAAGCUCAGUACUCAGGUCAGAUUUCAGUAAAGCUGAGUGAGUUACAGAACUCAGUCACGUUCAUACAGAAAGUAGAAUCCAUAAGCAUUCUGUCAGACAACGGAAUCAAGCAAACUCAGUCAGAUCAGUCAAGUAAGAUAAUCAGCAACAGAUUCAGUUCAGUUUAGUUUAGUGUAAGAAUCAGUUCAGAGUCCUUCAGUUGGGAGUAGGAACUAGCACCAAGCGAGUGCAGGGAUGACGACUUCCCCUUUAGAGAGGCAGAGUCGUUAGGAGCAAUCCCUAAACUCCAAAACUGCGUAGCCAGCAUAGGAAUAGGAUUCACCCGUUAGAUUAAGGCUUGAUUAUCAUAUUGCCUUAGGCUUGACUUUCUGUUCAGGGUCACCCGUUAGAGAGGCUUGACCAUAGCAGAGGUCUUUACCCAUGGCACGGUAUUGACACCCUUCCAGCCCACUAGAUUAGAAUCGGGGCAUGUCGGUUAGGUGAGAACUCCUAUAGUUGCAGUUUUAGUAUCAGUCUUCAAACUAGAACUCAAAAAUCAGAACUGUCAGAUACAGCCACCCAUCUUAGAAAGGAACUUAGAUAGUUCCAUAGAUUCAUAGACCACCCGCUAGAUAGGCCUUGUAUCACAUAAAGUUAAUCAGUAUUAGUACUAAAAGAUCCAGAGAUCCCCCGUUAGAUAGGCCCGAUCUCAAACUCAGUCCAUCAUUUCUAUUAUUACAAGAUUCAGAGAUCUUCCGCUAGAUAGGUCUGAUCUUAGAUAUAAUUAUUCCUUAUCAUUAUUAGUAGAUUCAGAGAUCAUCCAUUAGAGAGGUUUGAUUACAGAUUUAGUCAGUCGAUAGUAGCAAAAUUAGAACUCAGUUAUUGAUAUAAGUAGAUUCAGUUAAUCAGCUUCAGUAUCAUCAGUUUCAAAGAUCACUUGCUAGAUAGGACUGAUCUCAACUUCAGUACUCAUUUAACAAUAUCAGAAGAUUCAGUUAUUCAGUACCUCAGUAUUAGUAGUGAGUUCAAAUAUCAGUAAAACAAUAUUUGAGUCUCAGUAUUCAGAGUCAUGAUGAUUUUCAGUUAUGGUUUGUGCAUUCAUGCAUAUGUCCUUAUUCAGUACUCGCAUGUUAUUCAGUUAAGUUAUGUUCAUGCAUAAGCCCUUGCAUUUAGCCUUACCUCAUAUAGCAUACUAGUACAUUCAAAGUACUGGCAUACUUUUUUCUUACGCUAUAGUGUUUUAUACCAUAGGUUCAUAAGCGCGAGAUCUAGAGCACCCAUAGCAGUCCAGACUCAGUAGCAGCAAUAGACGUAGUAGUCAGUCCUCUUCAUUUAAGGAUGCCUCAUAUUUCAGUUUUAUAUUAGAUUUAUUUUAUUUUCAGUAGAAGGAGUUAGUUGGGGACAUAUCCCAUCAACUCUACAAAUCAGAUAGUUAGAGGCUUUUCAGACAGAUGUAUUAGUAUUCAGUUUUUAGUUUUGUGCAUUUUAGACGUUUUGAACCUUAUGGCAAGUUUUCUCCAGUUUUCUGCAUUUGUUAUAUUAUAUUAUGCAGUUCUCAGGUACAGAUAUUAGUAGAGGGUUAGCUUGUGGUCCUUCGGGAUCAUGAGCACCAUGUGGCGUUAUGAUUUCGGAAAAUCGAGGCGUUACAUAUUAUCACCAAAACUCAUGCUUUAUGUUGUGAUGGUUAUGAUCCCUAGAAAUCAUGUGCAAGGUCAUCUCAAUGUCAAUUCUUAUUUUAUCACGCUUCGUGCUUACACAUUUCACAAGGGGUUAUUAUGAAUCCCUUUUGAUGUCUUUGCAUACUUGGUUGAGGAGGAAUGUUCAAUGCGAGGUUACAUUCUUUAUUCCAUAUUUUCAGAGCUUUAACAAAUUUCUACCCAUCAUUCGGGAAUGAAUGAUCCCAAGAGAAAGAUAAUGUAAUGCCCCGUAGUUAUAACACUCUAUUAAUGCAUUUAAAAUGACCUUUAGGACCACCAUAGUGAUGGUAGAUUAUGUGUAGACAUUGUGAGAGAUGUUGGGGGUAUUUUAGAACCUCAAAACUUAGUGUGUGUCGCACUGCCAUCGCCUACUGCCGCUGGAAAAGCUAGGCAGUGGGAUAGGCACCACCCACCUGGGAGCUAGGAGAUGGGCAAGGCGCUGCCCACGUUGUAUCUAUGCCAUGGACAAGGCGUCGCCCAUCUUUUGGCUAGGCCAUGGGCUGGGUGCCGUAUGGCCAAUGCAUUGAGGCGUAGGAGUUCUGUUUUUGUAUUAUUUUAAGGGCAACAGGGUCCUUUCACAUUCCAUAACCGUCCCUAAAAACUUUUAGACGAAAUUAAAGUCCAUAUUCACGUUAUAUCACUUACUAAAUCGCUAAUUCAUCUUCCUUAAGCAAGAGAGGGGAAAACUAACUAGGGUUUGAGAGAUUAAGCCUCAAGAGUCAAAGUUUCUCAAUGUUUCCAUCAAUCUAAGGUACGUGGGUCUUUCCUAAACCUCAUGAGCGUAGAUUUACUAUUUUUAAACAAGCUAUAAUGAGUAUAUAUUUAUGCAUACGAAAUGGGUUUCAAAAGUAUUAAUGAAUAUGCAUUAAAAAUAUUGUUUUAUGAUGAAGUCUUGUAGAAAUUGUGGUGUUGUGCCCUAAAUCUGAAAUAUUUUGAUGAGUUCAUGUGAUAUUAAGUUUGAGAAGUUAAAUAAGAGCAUGAUGUAUGUAAUUCCCUCUCUUAUUAUUGAACCUAUUGUUUUUACAUGUUGUGGGUUGAUUAUACGAAUAGCUAAAAGCUUGAGUUUGAAGGUUUAUUGUCAUGUAUGAAUUGUAUUAUUUUUAUUACUAAAUGUGAGGGUGUUUUUCUUAAUUUAUAAAUGUUCACGUUCCCAAUAGAGAGUUUAGUGUAAUUGAUAAAAGAGAUGAUCAUCGUAGAUAAAGUAUUGAAGAGAGAAAGUGUUUUAUUUUUAUGUGCUUUUGAAGUAUGAACUCUCGCCUGAUUUUUCAAUAUUUUGGGUGGUCAAUAACACGCUUUGACAUAAGAAGGGCAGUAGAGAAGUUGUAGUAGGAAAUGAAGAACUUGCAAGUCUGGGUAUGACGAUACCCUAUUAAAAUGUACCCUAAACAAAAUAAGAGAGAAACAGUUAUAUGAAGAAAACACGAUUUUUUUAAGAGUCUAAAAUAAGGCUUAAGAGAGUUAGAUGGUUACCCAAAAAAGGCACGAGUUUAGAUAGCUCAUUGCCCAAAAUCGUGAUUUGCUAACACGGGUUUUAUGUUUCUCCUAAAUAGGGGAUUGUACGCUGGCGAUGGCCUUGUGGCGUAGUAGAGAUGUAGAGACUCCAGUCCUUGCGACAAACUUGGGUUAGGGGCUUGGCUGUCGAGUCAAAUUUAAAGUCGGAUUUCAUAUAGCCCAUGAAAUUACAGAUUGCAGGGUGUACCAUCUAACUCAGUAGAGAAAUGAAGAGUUGAGUCAUGAUUUCAAGAAGUUGUUUUGAAGCUCAUCACAUUAUGCCCAUGUGUUUUCAUUUACCUUAUGUUAAAUAUUUUUAUGAAAUGCUCUCACCUAUGUUGUAUAAAAAUAUGUUAUUUUGGAUUGUUCUACAUACCAGUAUCUUUGUGUAUUGACCCCCUAUAUUUCAGGUUAUGCGGUAUAGUCCCAUGGUCCAUCAUAUUACUAGAACACUUGGGAUUUGACAGAAUUGAUGAGCCAUCCAUCUUUCGAAAGGCAUUUAUUUAUAUGUUGAGUCUUUCAGUAUAUGGUCCACCAGGGGCUUUGUCCCGGCCUAGACAAUUAGUAUUUAGUAGAGGCUUCGUUGACGGUAGUUGAAGUGUUGUAUUGUCAUAUCUUGUGACACAUUUCAGAUUAUAAGUUUUCCAAUAAACAUUGUUAUAUCUUCUGCAUUUUGAUUUAUGUAUGGAUUCUGCUUAUGAUAGUAAGUUAAGGGAUCUCUUGGGCCUUCGUGGUUCGGGAUGCCCAUCGCGGCCAGGUUCCCGACUCGUGUCGUGACAUAAUAACUUAAAAUCACCAUAGAAACUUUUGUCCAACAAUACUCGUCUAUCUAUAAUCUAUAUCUAUAAUAUAUUAAAAGUUUGAAGAACUUUAUAAAUGUUGUUUAAAUUUUUUGUCCUUCAUUAAAAAACCAGACAAUAGACAAAACAAUCAUUUACUAAUUUUUUUUUUUAUAAUAAAUUGUAGUAAAUAAUUUUUAAAUUUUAUUUUAAAUAACCAAAGACUACACGUGUGAGGCACACGCAUUUAACCUAAUAUUACUAAAAAUAGAUGUCUAACAAUACUUGUUCAGUUUGAAAAAUCAAUGAAUAAUUUACUCAUUUCUAUCCAUUUUACCCUUAAUAAUAAUUUAUAGUCAUUCCUCAAUAUAAUUUUCUAAGCAUUGAAUUAAUUAUAUCCAAAGGGCGAUAUAGUCAAAUUACUCGUACUACUUAUUGUUUCUUAACAUAUACAUCAAUGAUGGAUAAGUAUUAUUACUAAGAAAAUAAACUUUAAAUUAUGAAAUCACAUUGGUCAUCAAAUCUACUCUCCCGUCCCAAAUUUCCUAAUUUGAUUUCCUAUUUUACUUGUCCUUUUUCAUUAAUCAAGAAGAGACAAAAUUAUUUCUUCGUGUUUUACCCUUUGCAUUAAUUAUUUUUUUUUCAAAUUAAAAUAUAAACAUUAUUUAAUAGGGGCACUAUCAUAAAUUAGUCAUGUUAUUAAUUAUUUUUUUUAAUCAAUAUGUCAUCUCAAUUUGAGAUGGGUAAUUUGGGACGAAGGGAGUAAUUGAAUGUGGGAGUUUGGGACCAACACGGAUCAAACAUAUCAUUUAAGUGGUCCGCCCAAACAACUCUUCGUGGUUCGUAACAUUAUAAUUUAAGUGUACGCAAGAUUUUCCACAAAUUAAAUGGCAGUAUUCGUAUAUUCAUUAUCACAACUCAAUGUGAAAUUUUAUUUUGAAUUUGAGGCAGUGGAGCUUCCAAUCCUAUAAUUUUUUUUUCUUAUCCAGAUUGAUAUUUAUAUAUCUUAUGUGGUGUUAGAUCAUAGUAACAAUUUUAUUAUUUUUUUAAUGUGAAAUCAAUAAAUAUUUUUUGUAUAAAAAUUUCUUUUACUUAAUUAUGUGAGUUAUAUCUUCCAUUUUAAUUUAAGUGACUGAAUUUGUUUCUAGUCUAUUUAGAAAGAAACGAUCACUUUUAAAAUUUGAAAAUAUUUCAGCUUAAACUUAUCAUUUUGCCCCUUUUUGUCCGUUAAACUGCGUGUUUGGUCAAUAGAUUCACACAAAUUGCUUCUUCAGAAAAGGAACAUCAAACGUUUACUUGGAAAACACGUUAUACAUGUAUGAUCCAAGUAAACGUCCAAACAUCCUUUCUAGCAUACCCGUCCGAAGAGUCAUGGAUAGGAUGAGUGAAAUGGUGGACAGGUAGUGCCUGAAAAACAGAAACAGAUAUUUCUGAAUCCCAAGGGCGAGUUUUCCGGGAGAACCCAACAGUUGAUGAAAGAUUUGAAAGCGCACAAGAAGAAUUCAUUCCCACCUCGGACUAGUAGGGGAGUGGAGGCAUAUAAAUAUUCUACUUUAUUAAACUAGUUAACCAUAAUAUAAUAAUUAAUACAAUUUAAUAUAAAUAUUCGAUGCAGAUAAAUUUUUAAUCGUUGAGUUAUUAUACACAAAUAAAUAUUUUUAAAAUAUUAUUUACAUAUAUAUGUACCUAGCCAAUUGACAGAGGCUAUUUCUAGAAGGGUGUCUUUGUCACUGUUUACGUCCGUCUUUAUUUCUUGUCAACAAGGAAAAAUAUAAGUUAAUUGUGGUGGAAAUCAAGAGCAUUCUUGUCAUAUCCAGUCGAUUAGUUAAAGGGACACACUUCUGGUGUAACAGAUCAUAAUUAUAAUAAAUUAGUGGUGAAAUAAUUAAUGAAUAAAAAUUAAGAGGAAAAUAAGAGAAUUUCUUCUUAGAUGAGACACAAAUAUCUCGCUCUUUUUAAGAAGAUUCAAAUUCACUACGACAUAAUUUACAUCGAUAUAAUAGUAUAUCUCUUGACUUGUCCCCUACAAGAUACAACAACCCAUCAACGAUAUACAACUCAAGCAAUUUCAGAUUAGUUGAAGAGUCCAAAGCUCCAUCACAAAAACACCUUUAUUAAACAUAUUAAAACACUCUUUUGUAUAGUGAAUAUAGUUGUAGAUUCAGAAUAUUUUCUUUGUCUCAACUCUUUGUUUCACUAAUACAAUUUUCACACUUAUCAUAUUUUGUUGUUCAUAAUAUAUCCAACACAAAUGAAGAAACACCAUUAUUUGUAGGUGUAGAAUUUUUUCAUGUAAUGAAUAUGAUGAAUGAGGCGUAGUAACGUGGGUAGAUAAAUAGUCUUGAUGUUACAUAUGUUACAUGCAGUUAAUGACCAUGGAGUUAUAAGAAACUAAUGGUCAUAUGAGUUACAAGAACUAAUAAUCAUCUUUUACCAUAAUUUAUACCCACUAACACACAAAAAAAAAAAUAUGGUGAGUUACAAGAAUAAUGACACUGCUUUCUUCAUUUUAUGCCAACUAAUUGUCAUCCACUUUAAUAUUUUUAUUUUAAUAUGAAAUGCACCAACACUUCAUUCCACCUCCCUCUGUUUCAAAAUAAAUAAACUAAAACAAAAAAAAAAUAUAUCUUAAAAUAAUUGUCGCUUUAGAAAUUCAAGAAAAAAAAAUAGUAAGUGUUUCAAAAACAUUUUUGUACUUCUUUUAUUUUAAUUUGUUUAUCUACUUUCUUUUUUAGUCUGUUUAAAAAUGAAUGUAUCUUUCUUAUUUUGAAAACUCUUUAUCUUCUACCGGUCAGGUUUAAGACCACAAUAUUAAUAGUUUGAGAAAUUUUACAUACUUUUAAUUUAAGAUCAUAAAAUUCAAAAAUUAUUUUUUACUUUCUUAAACUAUAAACUGUGUAUCAAACCAAAAUCAGACAAAUACAUUGUAAAAAGAGAGUACUAAAGCAUUAUUUCUUUUUAAUAGUACUCAAUUAUUAAGAAACAUCGUCUAACAAAUACUAGAAACGGCACUAGAAAUAACAUAGUAAACUAUAUUUUUUAUUUAUUAUUUUUCGGUGUGAAAUAAGCUAAUAUGACAAUUAUUUUUUGGACGGAAGGAGUAUAUCACUUUGAAUUCCCCUCUUAUCAACUUCAAACACUAGUAUAAAUAACACAUUAAUUUCCAUAGAGGAAAUAAGUUAAGGAAUGGAGAUUGUUGCUUCCUACUUAGUCUCAUUUUUGUUUGCAAUAAUUUUAGUAAUAUAUGCAUGGAGGUUGUUGGAUUGGGUAUGGUUUAGGCCAAGGAAACUAGAUAAGUGCCUAAGAAAACAAGGUCUCAAAGGGAAUUCUUACAAAUUAAUCUUUGGAGACCUCAAAGAGUUGUCCAAAAGCUUUGAAGUUGCCAAAUCCAAACCAUUCAAUGUCUCUGAUGACGAUAUAUCUCCCAGAAUUCUUCCUUAUUUUGUUGAAUCAAUCAAGAAACAUGGUAAGUUUUCGUUUUGUUUCGCACCUAAUGGGUAUUCUGUGCCUGUUUUUCAGUCCGACUAAUUUGAAAUACUAGUGGAAAAUCUCACUAGGAUAAUUCCAUUCCUAAGAUUCGAAUCCAAGAUUCUUAAUUAAGAGUGGACGGAUACAUUAAAAAUUCGUCACUAGGUGGGAAUUAGCUAAGAAGUUUGUCGCUAAUAUGUCAAGAAAUAACUUGAAGCUAACAUGAUUUGUUGAUAAUAAUCUAUCGUUAAAUAAUAUUAGCGGCUUGUAUUUACUAUUUAUUUACUAUUUAGUGACAAAGUUAUCCAUUGCUAACAUUUUUUUAUAGUGCACUUAUCAAUCCACAACUUUUUUUGUGGAUAUGUAAGAAAAAGGAGUGCUUUGAAUUUUGGAGAGCGAAUGGUCCUUUAAAUUUGACUAAAACUAUGAAAAAAAGUGAUAUUAGCACAAACUCAUAUAUAUAGGAACAAGUUUUGUAGUUUUUGUUAUUUUUGAUUUAUUUGAUCUAGAGUGUUUUGUAACUUUUUGAAAUGUAAUUUCCGCUAAGUUUUUAUAUUUUCUUGGUGUCGAGUUCAAUUUUCUUGUUAGUGCAUAUUAUAGGACUAGUGCAAUUAUUUGCGCUUCACGCAGUUGAUCGAAAAAUUAAUAUAUUUCACUGAUUACAUAUACAAAUAUUAAUUCUAUAAAUUUUUAGUUUCUUAUUUUAAUGAAAUUGCAGAUAAUAUUUAUACUUAAAUCAGAAAAAAAAUGUAGAUCUAUAUCUUUAUCCGAAAUAAUGAUAUGGUCUUUCAUUUUUUUCUCAAUCUGUACCAUCAAAAUACUUUACAUCUUUUGAAGUAACCCUUUCAUUUGUACAUAGUUGAAUUAAAAAAAAUCAACAUGUGUUGUGAUGUAGUCAUAGGACUACUCUACCCUUAACCAGAGGUCUGGGAUUCGAGCCCUGCGUAUAAAGAAAAUCUUGUUGAGAGCAUCACCCCUAAAAUGGGUACCUGACAUCGGAUGAGAACAAAAAAAAAUUAAAAAUAAUUAAAGUAUAUGAGUGGUGAAGUAAAUAGAAUAAGAGGUUAUAUUUCAAAACAACAAUUUACAUAUUGAAUUAAAAAUAUUAUUUUUUUAUUUCAAUUUCCUUCAUCUCUUGUUUGAGUACCUAUCUUUCGUACAAACAUCAAUUCUUUAAAAAAAUUUAAUUUCUAUGUCAUGUUUUUAUUAUUACAUUUGUUUAUAUAUUUUAAAUAAUUUUUUAAGAAAUUAUGAAAAUGAAACAAAUAAGAGUUAUGAAUAAUAUUUAAAAAUAGAAGUUAUAAAUAAUUCAAAUAGCUUCAAUGUAAAAGAGGCAAAAAAAAAAAAAAAAGAUAAAAACUUUACAACAUAGUACUUAAAUAAAGAAAAAUAGAAUAUACUAAAAAUAAAAAAAUCAUUAUCUCGUAAAAUUUAAUAAAUAUUAUAAGCAAUUGCUUAUUAAUUUAGCGUUUACCGCAAGUUGAUUUUUUUAUCAAUCACACAGAAUAGAUAUAAUUAAAAUAUCAAUACUAUCAAAAUUACUUCAUGACGUGAAGAUUUCCUUGAGUAUACUUAUUUUGCAGAAGAAUACGAAUACAUAUAAAAAAAUGCAAAAACUAAGAAAACAGGGCUAAGUACAUAAAAAUCGAUUAAAAAAUUGAGAAUGAAAUAUUUCUUGUCUUCCAAUACUCCUUUUAUUUUACAUAUUAUAAUUCAUAAGGUAAAAUGAUAGAAAAGAGAAAGAAUGAGGUUCUUCAUGAAACAAAAUAUGAGUUUAUAUAGCAAAAUAGAGGAAGGUCAUGAGACUUUCAAAUUAAAGUUUGGGGGUUAUAAACAUAAAAAUUAUGAGAGUUACAAAUAUUAUUAUAGGAGUCACAAAUAUUAUGAGUUAUGAGUAAUUACUUCUUAUAUAUACAUUAAAUAUUAAAAAAACUUGAAAUAGUAGAAGAUAUUAUUGAAAAUCCUAUAUUUUUUUUUUGGUAAUCAAAAGAUGUAUUAAGAAGGAAUAGUUACAGAGGAGUUAGUCUGGUUCAAGAGCAAAAACCUUUGGGCUAUGCCCAUGAGAAAGUACUGGAACCUUUCUCACAUUAGUAGUACCAACUACAUCCGCCCAUACAUUUUGGGCUACAAAAGGGAGGAGAAACAAAAAUAUUACAAAGACUUAGUUGUUCCUUCGUUGCUCUAUGUUUAGCUAAGGCAUCAGCAACUAAGUUUUCCUCCCUAUAGCAAUGCUGAAUUAUUGUUGGUCCCAGCUUUCCUAAUAGCAACCUACAUUCAUGGAGGGGAGGGUUAUAAACAAGAUUCCCCUGCUGGAGCAUCUCAAUUAUUUCUUCAAAAUCAAUAUUAACAUGAAUUGGAAGCAAACGAUGCUGCAGUACAAGCUGAAGACCUUGAAUCAGGGCCAACAGCUCCAUCAAAUUAUUGGUAGCAUAAGAAAAAUAUUGGGCAAACCCCAGUCCCCAGUCCCCAUUGGAAUUCCUAAUCAUAUCCCAAACGCCACCAUUACCAGGGUUAUCCAAACAAGAACCAUCAGUGUUGAGUUUAUAGGUACCUCGCGGGGGAGGUGUCCAAGCAAUGGAAAUAGAAAUCCUAGUAGGGAGAGCGGUUUGGUCGGUGAGGUGAGCAAAUUCAGUAGCUUCUACAUAAGCUUGGGUGAAGGAAGGAGGUAAGGACUUAAUAUUAAAGAGGUUUAAGUUCUUGUCCUUCCAAAUAGUCCAAAGAAAAAAAGAGAAGAAGAGUAUACCAGGAGAGAGAACUAUUAAAGCUUGAAUACUGAAGCUGCUUAACAGUGUUGAACCAAUGUGCAGCAUGAAAGAAGUCUAGGGAUAAGAAAAGCUCACCCUUGUAGAGCUUGAUCAGGUUACUCCAAAAGGAGGUAGUUUGAGGACACUCAAAGAAAAGGUGAGGGAUGUUCUCCAAAGGGUGAGUGCAGGAGGGACAGAAAGGGGAAAGAUUGAUGCCUCUAUGAACAAGCGUAGCUCUAGUGGGGAAGCUAUUAUUGCUCAAAAGUCAUAGGAAACACUUAAUCUUAUUAGGAAUAGGUGUUUUCCAGAUCCAUUUCCAGUGGGAAAGAGCAGGUCCAGGCCCAUUAAUCCUGGAUAGCAGAAGGUGGUAAACAGAAGCACAAGUAAAUGAUCUAUUACCAUAAAAAAGCCAUCUAGGGGAGUCAGUGUUGAUAGAAGGGUGCGGACUAAAAGUAUUAUGAAUCCUGGCUUGAAGUAGAGCAGGGAUAUGAAAAGGAAAAGAGUCUAAGAAUAACACACCAUUAGAAAGAUAGGAGGAAGUUUAGGUGGCUUGGGGUCAGGCAAGGGGUCCUGAAUGAAAGAUAAAAGAGUAAGGAGAGAGGAAACCCAGUGAUCAUGCCAGAUAUCAAUUUUGUUCCCAUCAUAAGUAGAUCAGAAGAGAGCAUCCUUGCAUAAGGAUCAACCUCUCUUAAUAUUCCUCUAGGUAGAGGAGGAAGGAGAGGUUUUGAGGUUGGAAUUACCAUAUUUCUUAGCCAAAAGUUGGGUCCAAAGAAAGGAAGAGGAGGUAUGGAAUCUCCAAGCAAGGAUGCAAAGAAGGGAAUCAUUUUUUACAUUGGCUGUUUGGACCCCCAGACCACCUUGAUACUUAAGGAGAGUGAUAGUGUUCCAAUUAACCAGGUGCAUCCUCUUUUUAGCCUCAGUAGUUAUCCAGAUAAAGUUUCUUUGGGUUCUAUCAAGGAGCUUAUGAAGUUUUCUAGGGAAAAGGAUAAAUUGAAUGACAUGGUUGGGAAUACUGCUCAGUCUAGCUUUAGCCAGGGUGAAUCUCCCAGCCAUAUUGAGGAAUCUAGUUUUCCAACUAGCAAGUUUGGAAUGCAAGUUAUCAAGGAGAAAAUGAAAGUCAGCAAGUUUAGGAGGCCCCUGAAAUAUGGGGAAGCCCAAGUAUUUCGCAAAAGAAGCACUAGCCUUGAUACCAAAAAUAGAAGACAAAGUAGAUUGGGUAGCUGGACUGCAAUUAGCAGAAAAGAUAACCUUAGACUUACUGAGGUUGACCUUUUGGCCAGAGUGAGAACUAAAGCUAUCAAAGAUCCUGGUGAUGGUGAGACAAGAGGCUCUAUCUGCCUUAGCAAACAAGGUUAGUUCAUCAGCAAAGAUGAGGUGGGAGAAAGGGGGGCCUCUUCUACUGAUUUUAAUAGGGCUCUAUUGGAGAGUGUCAACCUCAUGGUUAAUCCUUCUAGUUAGGAGAUCCAUACAGAGAAUAAAUAUAUAGGGUGACAUUUGAUCACCCUGUCUGAUGCCCCUGGUGGGAUGGAAGGCAUCAGUUUUACCCUCAUUCACAAGAAGAAAAAUAGAGGAAGGGGAGAGACAAGACAUAAUGAGGGCAGAGAGCCUAGGAGGAAAAUUGAAAAAGAAGAGAGCUUGCCUAAUAAAGGACCAUUCAAGUCUAUCAAAAGUUUUAUUAAGGUCAAUCUUUGACAAUUAUGCUCUGAGAUCUGCCUUUUUGGGUCCUAAGGUGCCUUAAGUACUCUUGAACAAUAAUAAGAUUGUCAGAGGCCCUCAUCUUAGAGAGGAAGCUAGCCUGAGUAAGACCAAUGAUGGCUUGGAGGUGAGGCUUAAUUCUAUUGGCAGUAAUCUUACUGACAAUUUUGUACUAACUAUUGCAAAGGACAAUAGGUCUGAAGUUUCUAAGAGAAGAGGCAUUCUUACACUUAGAAAUCAGGCACAAAUAAGUAAAAUUCACCUUAGCAUCCAUGGUAUAGGUGGUGAAGGUGUGGGUGAAAAAUGCAACAAACAAAGGGCCCAAAGAUUCCCAAUAUUUUUGGUACAUGGAAAAGGUGAAGACCAUCAGGACUAGAAACUUUUGUAGGUUUGAAUGAGAAGAUAACAUUUUUUAUUUCAGCAUAAGAAGGGAGAGAGUCCAUGGCUAAGUGUCUAGAGGUGUUUAUAGAGCCCAUAUUGGAGGAAUUUGGCUGACAAGCUUGGAAACAACAGGUAAGAGAAGUAGAGAAAAGGGACGAAUAGAAGGAGAGGAUAGUAUUCUUGAUCUCUUGUUGAUUGUGUAUCCAGACACCAUUCUCAUUGAGGGAUUGAAUACCAUUUUUCCUCCUCUUGUUAAUGGUAGUGGUAAAGAAUUUGGUGUUCUGAUCCCCCUCUAUAAGUCAGUUAAUUCUAGAUUUAAGAAUCUAGAAAUCAGAUUUAUCCCUGAGAAGGGACUUGUAGUCCUGAAGAAGCUAUUGCUCAAGGGUAUGUAAAAAGAAGCCGGUAGAGAACUUAGGAGACUUUUGAAUCUCAGCUAGUCUAGCAAGAAUAUGCUUUUUUCUAUGGAAGAGGUUACUAAAAACCUCUCUGUUCCAGGUUCUAGCCUUCUCCUCAAAGUCCAAGAUGACAUCAGUGAGGUCAGAACCAACAGGGAAGUAUUAGCUUACUAAGUUAGGAAAGUCACUAUGGUUACACCACAUGAAUUCAACUCUAAAAGGCUUCAGGAUAUGCAGGAGAGGCAUAGAGAGUUGAAGAAGCAAGGGACAGUGAUCUGAAUGGGUCUUAGGAAAAUGUAAAACAUAGGAGUUAAGGUAUAAUUGAAUCCAGUUAUCAGUAGCUAGACACCUAUCAUGCCUCUCCAUAAUAAGGGACUGUCUAUUCCUAUAUCUCAUAAUGGACCAGGUAAACUUACUGUCCCUAAAGCCUAGGUCUAUGAGCCCACAAUAGUUAAUACAUCUCCAAAAAGCAUUAGCCCUAUGCAUAUUGAUACAGUUUCCCCCAAACUUCUCAGAAGUACUCAGGAUCUCAUUAAAAUCACCACUUACAAGCCAAGGAAUACUGUUAUCAUGAUUAAGAGAGUCAGCCAUGCAACUGAGAUGGUCCCAGAGAUUAUGUUUGAGUAAGACAUUAGUGCUAGCAUAAACUAUAGAAAGAAUCCAGGAGGUGGGAGGAUUACUAACCUGGACAGUAGCAUGAAUAGCCUGAGAGGAAAUAGAAAUGCUAGUGAGGGAAAUGGUGUCCUCCCUCCAAAAGAUAACAAUACCCCCAAAGUGUCCAGUAGCACUGGAUUGGAGGAAAAUCCUACAUUUUACUUUUAGCUCAAUAUUAUUUUCUCUAUCUAAAGAGCAUUUAUAUCAAAUAAGAACAAUGCAAAAUAUGUCACAAAUAAGCACAAACUAAAAUAAAUUGAAUGAUGUUAUUUAAAAGAAUAAUUAUACCUUUCGAUUCUCCAUUACUACAUAUAAUAAUUAUAUAUUAAUAUAAUAACUUAUAAAUAAUAAAUUAUUAUGGUUAUUAACAAAUUUAAUGAAACUUAAUAAAUGGGAUGAUUAAACUUUGAAUUAUUUGGAUGAAUUAUGCAACUAAUUCAAUUAAUAGCAUUGAUAAUUUAAUAGCAUUAAUAACAAAUUGAUUAAAUAUGGUUAUCUUUAAUAUUCUAUGUUUUAUAGUGAUUUUUUCAUUCUUAUAAAAUUAAGAAAAAAGUUUAAAAAAAAUCACAAAAAAGAUAAAUAUGAUUCUAGGCCUUAAAGUGCGCCAUGUCAGCAAAUGUUUAAUCCUCCUUUAUACGUAAUUUUUUAAACUUGCUCUUUAAAAAUACUUAAAAAUUUAUUUUAAACUUAAAAAAUAUUUAAAAUAAGUCAAUUCAAAUAGACUCUAAAUGACCUAUUAAAAUUGACAAAACUAUAUUAACAGUGAAAAGUCUUACAAGCUUAAUAAAUAUAUUUUUCACCGUUACUCAUUUGAAAAUGAAACUGAAACAUCAUAUAUAAUAUUAAUACCUCCAACUUCAUUCCAACGAAGUGUAUUAAUCACUACUUAAAUGCUUCAAUUAUUAUUUUAUGGUGAUUAAAAGAAAAAACUCUUCACCUCCUUACGUUAUUUAUAACACCAGUAAUUAAAAAAAUAUUAAAAGUCUCAUCAAAUUUUACUUUACAAAUUUUAAAAGUCCAAAAUGCACACACACAAAAAAAAAACGUCGCUUCUCAUUCAAACAUAUAGUCAACAAAAUAUAUGCGAUAACAUUUUGAAAAUUAUUUUAUAUUAAAAUAAUUAUAAUUGAAUGAGUACAUUAAAUGCAUUAAGUAAUUAUAAAAAUUUAUUCUAAAUGGAAAGGUGAAAAAAAUUGGAAAAAAAAGGAAAAAUUAAUGUAAAUGAGAACUUGAUAGGUACAAAGAAGGAAAAAAGAGAAAUUUAAGGAAUCUUAUAAAAAGAAUAAUGAUUAGGUUAAUUAAGGGGAGAAAAAGUGAUAGUAAAUUAACGUAAUAGAAGGGUAAAAAAAAGGCAUUAGAAAAAGUAAUUAAUUAUAUUAAUUAUUAUUAACACUAAUAAGUAAUAUUUUGUUUUCUUGCAUUAAAUUUAGUUUUCCUAAGAAUUUAUUUAAUUUUUCCUCAGAAAAAUUGAGAAUUUUUUUUAAAAUUGACAAAAAGAAUAAACAUUAAUGUUGAUCAUAAAAGGGGCCAAUCACCUCUUCUUUUUCCUGUUUUUUUUUUUUUUUAAUUUCUUCAUCUUCUUCUUCUUCUUCUUCUUCUUAUUAUUAUUAUUAUUAUUAUUCUUAUUAUUAUUAUUAAUAAUAAUAAUAAUAAUAAUAAUAAUAAUAAUAAUAUGAAAUGAAUUAAAUAUUAAAAAAAUCAGAAAAGUAAACGAUAUAAUCAAAUUCAAAUCACAACAUUCCUUUUUAUUUUUUCGUUAUUCCAUACUUUUUUAUUUUUCUUUAUUUUUCACUAUUUGUAUAAUUUUUCAUUAUUUCUAUAAAUUCAAGAUGACCAUAUAUGGAAUAAAACAAGUAGUUUAUUCUUUGAAAUCUUUCUUAGAAAAAUUGUAACAAAAGUGAGCCAUUACUGUGCAAUUCCUAAGAUUAUGGGAUUCUCCUAAAUAUGAAUAGAAUCUUCCUAAAAAAAUAGCACAUCAAAAGAUAAAAUACUCAAUAAAUUAAUAAUAAAUUUAAGCUAAUAAUCAUGCUUCUUCUUCUUCUUGUUUCUUCCUCUGCUUCUGCUUCUUCUUGUUUCUUCUUAUUUUUUUCUCCUUGUUUCCUCUUCUACUUCUAUUUCGUUAUUCAACUUCUUGUUGCUUUUGCUUCUUGUGUACCUUCUUAUUUUUGCACUCUCGGAUAUCAAUAAAAUUUAAAUGCUUAGUGAAAGUCUCAUUCUAUUAUAUUUCUAUAAAUUCAUAUUGCAUAAAGCUCAUAUUUGAUACAUGAGAGUCACUAUAGAUGCAAUAACAGGAGGAGGACUACUUGGUACUACAUCAAUUACAAGUGAUUGUGAAGAAAAGGAAUCAUCCAUAUUUUGAACAUUGGAUGAUUUUGUUGAUGCUUUCAUCAUUGUUUUCUUGAUAUAAUUGUGUAGGGGUUCUUCCAGAAUUUGCAAUAUAAAGAAUUUGUAGAAUGUGUUUGGUUCUAUGACCUUUCAAAUCUUCAGAAACUGUAAUGGAAGAAUUAAUGUGUAAUUAAUUUUUCACACAAAUGAAUAAUAUAAGAAAGAGGGAAAUUUUUCAAGAAAAAAACAGUAGAAAAAGUUUUGAAAAAUGAGAAAAAAAGAUAAAUAUGAUUUUAGGCUUUAGAGUGCGCCACAUCAGCGAUCUCAUAAUUCUCUCUUAUAUAUUGAUUUGAUGACACUUUCUUGGUGUUUAUGAUUGCCCCCUCNNNNNNNNNNNNNNNNNNNNNNNNNNNNNNNNNNNNGCUGUUUCCUAUCAAAUCUAACGAACAUAACAAAUAAAUAUUUGGAGACUGACAGUAUUAACUGUAAAACUGUUUUGUAUAUACUUGCUUAUCUAAACCUACCAUCAAUCAUAAGAGAUCAUUUAUGUCAUCUUUUUAACUUUGAACUUACAAAAUUUUACAGGUAAAAACUGUUUUAUGUGGGUUGGGCCAAAGCCUAUGGUAUUAGUAUGGGACCCUGAGGUAAUAAGAGAUGUGUUUAACAAACAUGCUCUUUACCAAAAGCCCAAAUCAACUCCCUUAACCAAGUUGCUAGCACAAGGAAUUGGAAGCUAUGAAGAGGAUAAGUGGGCCAUGCACAGAAAAAUCCUCAAUCCUGCUUUCCAUACGGAGAAGAUAAAAGGUAUUUUUCACCACCACCCCUCUAACAAAAAUGAUCUAAGAUAAAGUUUAAGUAAUAUAUAUAAUAAUGUCUCAUCCUUAACCGUUUAAGUUUUUAAAUGAAAUAAGCACAUGUAUUAUGGUAGAAUAGGCAUAGACUAGGACUAAAAUCUCAUUGUCACCCAAAAACUUUAGAUAUUUACACGCAGAGGCGGAGCUAGAAGUCAGAGAGGUUCAUCUGAAUCCUUUUUUAUAGAAAUUUACAAAUGUAUAUAUUCGGUCAAACUUAUUAUUUUUAUUUAUAGUAUGUGAUGAAUCCUUUAGUUUCUUGGUUGUGUUCAUUUCCUUAUAUUUUCAAUUCCUUUCGUGAAAAUCCUAGUUUCGCCACUAUCUACAUGUUUGGCCUAUGAGGAGAAAAGAAAUCAGGCAUACAAACGAAUGUUGGAUAUAUAAUUGACAUAAUAUAUAAACACAAACUCGAACUUGGUCUUAACUACCAAGUAAACACCCCAACUUUGAGCAUGCACAUCAUCUAGACACCUCAAUUUGUCUCAAUCAUAUCAAUUAAUAAAGCUUACAAAAUGAUCAUCUAGACACCUACCAAAUUUAUGUGCCACGUCGGCGUCUGGUGUCCACGAGACACAAGAAAGUGUUUAGUUUCCGGUUGCGGAAGUGUUUAAAUGUGCACUCUCAAAGUUAAAAAUGCUUAGUUACCAACCAAGGCCAAGUAUCUGUUUAUGUAUUAUACCUUAUGCUUUUAAAUAAGAGAGUCACAAAAUUCAAUAAAAGACCUCACCCCCGAGACAAUACAAUGAAAUUUAUUUCCACUUGUAUUGAUUAUCACAAAUCCAUGAUGUCAACUCUACUUUCCCGGAACUCCACUUGUGGGAUUACACUAGAUAUUUUGUUGUAACUCUGCUUUCAUUCUGUUUUCUUUUUUACAUUUUUGUUCCUUUCUAGCUUGCAAAUUUAACCCAAGUUUGCAGGAGUGAAAUUUUCUGCAAGAUGCAGUUUGGUAGCACUAAUGUGUGGCUUACAAAUGUGUAGAAUAUGUUUUCAGCAGUUCACUUGAGCUGCAGUGAAAUGGUGAGUCAAUGGGAGGAGGCUGUCUCAAUGGAAGGAACAUCCUGCGAAGUCGAUAUAUGGCCUUACCUUCAAAGAUUGACUAGUGAUGUCAUUUCUCGCACAGCCUUUGGGAGCAACUAUGAAGAAGGUCGAAAGAUAUUUGAGCUUCAAAAAGAACAAGCUGAGCAUGUCAUUGAAGCUUCUCGCACCUUAUAUAUUCGAGGAUGGAGGUAAUAAAAUGUCGUUUUCCUUGAGUUUAAGUUGUGUAUAUUGGCAGGGUAUAAUAUUUAUUACGUUAAGUUACCUCACCACGAAGAAUCAUGAAUUUAUUUUUGAAGUUCAUCGCUAAUCCAUCUCUAAUUAGCACGCAGCUAACAUGUUUAUAGCUAAUCCAUCAUUAAAUAGAAUUAGCGAUAGAUUUUUGUUGUUUAGAGCAGAAGUUAACCGUUCUUAAUUCCAUUUAUUUUUGUAAUGCUUGUAAUAACCAGUUAAUAUACAGUACUAAUAGAGUAGAAAAUCUUUACGCGUGUAUAUAACCCUCCUUUCCUAUGUCUAUUUCCAAAUAGCUUCAAGAGAAGAAGUUAAAGUAGUGAUAAUUGAUGAUGAUAUACAUGUUUUUGUGUGUUAAACUAAUGUAGGUUUUUGCCAACUAAGCAAAACAGAAGGAUGAAGGAGAUUGACAAAGAAGUUCAAGGACUGAUUAGGGGAAUCAUCGAUAAAAGAGUGAAGGCAAUGAAAGCAGGGGAGGGCAAUGCCGACGACUUAUUAGGCAUAUUGUUGGAAUCCAACUUUAAAGAAAUUGAACAACAUGGCAGUAAGGAUUUCGGUAUGACUACACGAGAGGUCAUCGAGGAGUGUAAAUUGUUCUAUUUUGCUGGGCAAGAGACAACCUCUGUAUUGCUUGUAUGGACAAUGAUUUUGUUGAGCAGGUAUCCAGACUGUCAAGUUCGUGCUAGAGAAGAAGUUUUGCAAGUCUUUGGUGAUGGCACGCUGGAAUUUGAUGGAUUAAACCGCUUAAAAACUGUGAGUUAGGUCAACAUUUUUUUACCUUCUUUUACGAAUCCAGUUGAAUCUAAUACUUCUUAAAAUUUUGCCUUAUUUCUCACACACAUAAAUAUAUGUAAUAUGUCGUGUGUCAAAGAAAUUAGAUUCAGCAUGCUAAUCCAAUGUUGAACUCUUUUCAUAGGUGACAAUGAUUUUGCACGAGUCGUUAAGGCUGUACCCACCAGUUGGAGCACUUAAUCGAAAGAUUAAAACCAAUACCAAGGUAGGGGAACUAAGUUUACCAGCUGGAGUGAUGCUGUCUUUGCCAAUACUUUUAUUGCAUCAUGACAAGGAAAUAUGGGGCGAUGAUACGAUGGAGUUUAAGCCAGAGAGAUUCAGUGAUGGCGUUUCAAAGGCAACAAAGGGCCAAAUGACGUUUUUCCCAUUUGGCGGGGGACCUAGGAUAUGCAUUGGGCUAAACUUCGCAAUGAUAGAAGCCAAGAUGGCCUUGGCUAUGAUUCUACAACGCUUCACGUUUGAACUAUCUCCCUCUUAUACACAUGCGCCGCUGGCCGCAAUAACAAUGCAACCCCAAUAUGGUGCUCCUC
rnacentral:lncRNA from 1 species